UACGUAGGCAGCAAGCGUUGUUCGGAGUUACUGGGCGUAAAGGGUGUGUAGGCGGUUCUUUAAGUUUGGUGUGAAAGCCCUGGGCUCAACCUAGGAAGUGCACUCGAAACUGCCUCGCUGGAGUGCCGGAGAGGAAAGCGGAAUUCUCGGUGUAGAGGUGAAAUUCGUAGAUAUCGAGAGGAACACCGGUGGCGAAGGCGGCUUUCUGGACGGUUACUGACGCUGAGACGCGAAAGCGUGGGGAGCAAACAGG
rnacentral:rRNA from 1 species